UUGAUUCUAAUUUUAAUCUUGAAAUAGCAAGGUAAUUCUAUAAUUAUGAAUUUCUGGUCAUCAUCUCCCUUCCAUCAAUUCUUGAGUGGUUUAUCAUUUGUUCUUCCAUUCAGUUAUUUUGACUCUGCUGCUCUCCUAUCUAUUCACAGAAAUGCUACCUGACUUUUUCUUUCUUCAUAAGAGAUCCUUUAGUUGGUAUUGUUGAAUGUUACAGAUUCUAUUAACCAACUCUGUUACAGCUGACAGAGUUAAGUGUAUAAGCUAGCGACAGAGGCUGCAAGAAUGGGUUACAAUGAGGCUGCAAGCAUGGCUUACCUAAGUGGAGCGUCAUUUGUUGUUUAAACUUCCUACUAUUUGUCAGCUGACACCAUGCUUCAUUCUCUGUUUCCAGGACUAUCACUUAAGUCUCGGGAUUUGCCGGCAUUGUUUCUGGCUGUUAGGUUGUACGUCAUCUCACCCACACAAUGCUGGAUUCAGAGAAGGCGGGGGUCUGUGGAUGCUAGCAAGUGAGGCAACUUGGCUCGGACCGGCCAUAGCGCUGGUGUUGAUGUCUCUCCAGUCCCCACCGUCCUCCUUUGUCUCCCAGCCACGGCUGGCUUCAGUCCCUCCUCUGAUGUGAUGCUAUGUGAGCAAGAAAAAGAGCAAAAAAGUUCUGUAUCACCAUCCAGCGUCCACACAGCCAGAUUAGUUUUGGAUAACACAUGUACUCUGACCUGCUCAAUAGUCUGAAAUGCCUUCAUUAUUAGGCAGAUAAUGAUACUGCUCUGAAUAAUUCUUUUUUGUUUAGAGCAACAGUGUUUUGACUUUUGAGUAACUCUCCUAGGUAUAGGGUGUUGGUCAACAGCUACUUGCAAGGUAAAGAGAUGUCAACACUUCGUUUUUGAGCCGUGGCCUGUGAGAUAACCCAUGGUGGAAGUUAAAUGUGUGCAUAUGAUGUCUAUAUACAUCGAAAGCUCCAGGGUCCACCUUCAGUCAUUAUCUUUUCCCUGAAUUUCAGUUUCUGGACAUCUUCAAAAAAGAUCUAUCAAGAACUACAGAUUCACACUCGGAACUUGUUUCUCAUAAAAGAUUAUUCAGCCUUCUGUGGAAACUGCAGUGGAUGCUGCUACAACCUCCAUUUGUCUUAGGACCAGCACUGCUGCCAAGAAACCAAAGCAGUGCCUGGUCUGCAUGCAUAAGGUACAACCUAAUUACUUUGUGUAUAGACGUUUCUGCUCUCUCAUACUGCUGUUGUCUUGCAAUCAUUUUGUUCCUAUAUCGUUCCUUUCUUUAACAUGACUCUUUUUGUUUUCUGAUAUAGUAACUUCAGCCAUUUCUCUAUCAUACCAGUACAUUAUAAUGAUAUUUUGUUCUUUUUACUGUUUAGCAAUCCAUUUUCUGUACAACUUUAUCUUCAUGGAUGGUUCUUGUUACGGGCUUGGCUCACAGGCCCAGGUGAAGAGCUUAUCAGUAUAUUAAUAAUGCUCGCUACCUCAACAUCUGCUGGUAUUCAGCGUGCCUUCCUUACUACAUCGUUGAGAUGAGCUCACCGCCUUGACGCAUGCUACUACUUCAUGUGGGUUCUCUGCUAAGCUGUCAAGCUGAUGUGAUGCCUUUACUACCUGCCUAUAAACUGCCGUUGGACUUGCAUUCUCUGCUGCAGCAGCGACCUGAUGUGUAGCUGUGUAAAUAGCUAUGUAGAAAGCUAUUUUGUGUAAGUGCACGCUGCUCUAUAAGCAUGCUUUUAUAAGUAGAUCCUUUGUGACCAUCGUUCAGCCAGAUCCUAUGUCCAGAAUAUGGGCUGAACUUCAUCUGCACUUUAUCAACUUCUAUGGAUGGCAUGAAUUAUUGCCCAGGAAGACUUUGUGUCGAUAUGCUUUGAUUUC